GACGAACGCUGGCGGCGUGCCUAAUACAUGCAAGUAGAACGCUGAAGGAGGAGCUUGCUUCUCUGGAUGAGUUGCGAACGGGUGAGUAACGCGUAGGUAACCUGCCUGGUAGCGGGGGAUAACUAUUGGAAACGAUAGCUAAUACCGCAUAAGAGUAGAUGUUGCAUGACAUUUGCUUAAAAGGUGCAAUUGCAUCACUACCAGAUGGACCUGCGUUGUAUUAGCUAGUUGGUGGGGUAACGGCUCACCAAGGCGACGAUACAUAGCCGACCUGAGAGGGGGAUCGGCCACACUGGGACUGGAGCCAGGCCCAGACUCCUACGGGGGGCAGCAGUAGGGAAUCUUUGGCAAUGGACGGAAGUCUGACCGAGGAAAGCCGCGUGAGGGGAGGAGGGUCUCGGAUCUUAAAGCUCUGUUGUAAGGGAAGAACGAGUGUGAGAGUGGAAAGUUCACACUGUGACGGUAUCUUACCAGAAAGGGACGGCUAACUACGUG
rnacentral:rRNA from 1 species